GCUAUGACAUGUUUAUAUGCUAGCUAUGCAUCCAUUGCUUCAAAUAAAUGUUAUCCUAAUAUGUUUUCAAUCAAAAAGUGCUUUGUAGUGAAGUGGUUAAUGAACCAUUUCACAGGACUUGUGUCCUACUACUUCAAGCAUCAAAGACCAUAGGUAUACCCAGCACAUUAGAUUUUGGUGUGUACCUGUACAGGCCUCUGUCGUGGCUAUGGGUCCAGAACUGCCC